AGAGUUUGAUCCUGGCUCAGGAUGAACGCUGGCGGCAUGCCUAAGACAUGCAAGUCGAACGAGACGACCUUUGGAAGACUUUGUACUUGUACAUAGUGUGAAGAAGAUCAUCGUCUAGUGGCAGACGGGUGAGUAACACGUGGGUAACCUACCUUCAAGCUGGGGAUAACAGUUGGAAACGACUGCUAAUACCGCAUGACGCUUCUUGGGGGCAUCCCCGAGAAGUCAAAGCUUUAUGUGCUGAAAGAUGGCUUCGCGUCUGAUUAGCUAGAUGGCGGGGUAACGGCCCACCAUGGCGACGAUCAGUAGCCGGUCUGAGAGGAUGAACGGCCACAUUGGGACUGAGAUACGGCCCAGACUCCUACGGGAGGCAGCAGUGGGGAAUAUUGGGCAAUGGGGGAAACCCUGACCCAGCAACGCCGCGUGAAGGAAGAAGGCCUUCGGGUUGUAAACUUCUUUUACCGGGGACGAAGGACGUGACGGUACCUGGAGAAAAAGCAACGGCUAACUACGUGCCAGCAGCCGCGGUAAUACGUAGGUUGCAAGCGUUGUCCGGAUUUACUGGGUGUAAAGGGCGUGUAGGCGGAGAUGCAAGUCGGGAGUGAAAUCCAUGGGCUCAACCCAUGAACUGCUUUCGAAACUGUAUCCCUUGAGUAUCGGAGAGGCAAGCGGAAUUCCUAGUGUAGCGGUGAAAUGCGUAGAUAUUAGGAGGAACACCAGUGGCGAAGGCGGCUUGCUGGACGACAACUGACGCUGAGGCGCGAAAGCGUGGGGAGCAAACAGGAUUAGAUACCCUGGUAGUCCACGCUGUAAACGAUGAAUACUAGGUGUGGGAGGACUGACCCCUUCCGUGCCGCAGUUAACACAAUAAGUAUUCCACCUGGGGAGUACGACCGCAAGGUUGAAACUCAAAGGAAUUGACGGGGGCCCGCACAAGCAGUGGAUUAUGUGGUUUAAUUCGACGCAACGCGAAGAACCUUACCAGGAUUUGACAUCCAACUAACG
rnacentral:rRNA from 1 species